GUUGCUAAGUGUGUUCAUCUCAAAUCUAAAAGCCACUUUCAUAACAACAACUUUGCUAUUCCUUAGCAUUUUGUCUCUUUAGGCAGCUUAUUUCCCAGUCAAAGUUAUAAUUUUGUAUUCAUAAUACCAUAAUCAUUUCCAUGGUAACUUCCUGUGAAGUCACAGAGAAAACACUAUUGACUUCUCCUGAGGCUCUGAUUUCCCAGUUGAAAUCAUAUGUUGAUUUUAUUUUUUCCAAUGUAAGUCAAAGAUUUACUAUUAAAAAUCCUGGGGAUGAGGUCUUAACACAGAAAACCCAUCUGUCGUCGCUACAGAGGACUACUAUGAAGAAAGCGCCUGGCAUAAUCUUGGCACAUCGAAGGCAUUCAAAAAAUACCAGUCGUCUCUCUUCACUCCCUCUAACUCUAACUCAUUUUAACCUCAUUUAAACUUUGAGGAAAAAGAACUCAAGGGAAAGACAGAAGAGAGAAAAAAAGAAAAGAGAAAGCAGAAAUGUGGGUUUUGCUGCAAAGAAAUACCAAAAUUGUUUCCAAUCAGUCAAAGUGAAUCAUCUGUCUACCAACAUGCCUCAUUUUUCAUUGUCUAUAGUGGUGUCCACAGCUAGCUGACACUUCACAUGAAGAUUGAAGAAGAAUAAAUUUCAUUUUAAAUAC
rnacentral:lncRNA from 1 species